rnacentral:rRNA from 1 species
GACAGAGGGUGCAAACGUUGUUCGGAUUUACUGGGCGUAAAGCGUGUGUAGGCGGCUUGGCAAGUUGGAUGUGAAAGCCCACGGCUCAACCGUGGAAGCGCAUCCAAAACUGCUUCGCUCGAGUCUCGGAGAGGAAGGUGGAAUGCUUGGUGUAGAGGUGAAAUUCGUAGAUAUCAAGCAGAACACCUGCGGCGAAGGCGGCCUUCUGGACGAUGACUGACGCUGAGACACGAAAGCGUGGGGAGCAACCAGG